AUUCUGCUUGAUAAGAGAUCACCAUCGAUUUUAAAUUUAGAGUAUCAAUUCUCUCCGGUCGGCCAUUUUGUUACCUUCUCCGAAUUGCUCCCAAGAUAUGUCUAAGGACCAAAACUACAGUAACCCGAUGUAGUCGUAAUUGCGUGUUGAUAUCUUGUCAAUCGUACGGUUGUUUUAUCCGACUAGUUAACUAUAACUAAGUUGAUACAGAAAAUUUUCUUAUCUUUUUUUUUUAAUAACCAUGAUCUGUUAUUUUUAACAAUAAUGAUAGUAUUGGAAUUAGUUAAAAAGUAAAAGUUUCAAAUCAUAAAUAAGUGUUCCGUGAAACUUGAAUUGUUUUCGGAAAUCUAAUUAGUUCAUAAUUCUUUUAUGUAAUAAACUUUAUUCAAAUAAAUUAGGAUCUUCGCUCCACUGAUCACCUGCAUGGCUAAAGGUAUUACUCCCAAAGGUAUUGCAGGGGGUGUGACACGUCCAGGUAUUCAAGCGAUUUCCUGUCGAGCUUGCAAAUUCAUGCA
rnacentral:lncRNA from 1 species